CCCCUUUCAGGGUCACACCUGGAGAGUUUCCAGUACUCUACCAGUCUCGACUAUAGGAGGGAGAGUCUGGUAGAGACAUAUCCAUUCCGUUUCUUGCUUGGGCAGUGGCUAGCAAGUGGAAGGCAAUCUGCUACAUGU